rnacentral:rRNA from 1 species
UGUAGGCGCGAGUGGCGGACGGGUGAGUAACGCGUGAGUAAUCUGCCUCAUACAGGAGAAUAACACUAAGAAAUUGGUGCUAAUACUCCAUAAGCUCACAUUAUGACAUCAUAGAGUGAGAAAAGAUUUAUCGGUAUGAGAGGAGCUCGCGUCUGAUUAGCUAGUUGGUGGGGUAACGGCCUACCAAGGCAACGAUCAGUAGCCGACCUGAGAGGGUGAUCGGCCACAUUGGAACUGAGACACGGUCCAAACUCC